CCUACGGGUGGCAGCAGUGGGGAAUAUUGCACAAUGGGGGAAACCCUGAUGCAGCGACGCCGCGUGAGGGAUGAAGUAUUUCGGUAUGUAAACCUCUAUCAGCAGGGAAGAAAAUGACGGUACCUGACUAAGAAGCCCCGGCUAACUACGUGCCAGCAGCCGCGGUGAUACGUAGGGGGCAAGCGUUAUCCGGAUUUACUGGGUGUAAAGGGAGCGUAGGCGGUUUGGCAAGGCAGAGGUGAAAGCCCGGGGCUCAACCCCGGGACUGCUUUUGAAACUGGAGAACUGGAGUGCAGGAGAGGUAAGUGGAAUUCCUGGUGUAGCGGUGAAAUGCGUAGAUAUUAGGAGGAACACCAGUGGCGAAGGCGGCUUGCUGGACGAUAAAUGACGCUGAGGCUCGAAAGCGUGGGGAGCAAACAGGAUUAGAUACCCGUGUAGUC
rnacentral:rRNA from 1 species